GUCGUCAGUUCGUACUAGUGUAAGGACGACUCCUCGUCUAAGUCAGGCAACGAGCGAGACCCGUGCCCACUGUUGCCAGCAUGUCCUUCGGGAUGAUGGGUACUCUGUGGGGACCGCCGAUGCUAAAUCGGAGGAAGGUGCGGGCUACGGUAGGUCAGUAUGCCCCGAAUCUCCCGGGCUACACGCGGGCUACAAUGACUGGGACAAUGGGCUCCUACCCCGAAAGGGGAUGGUAAUCUCAUAAACCCAGCCUUAGUUCGGAUCGAGGGCUGUAACCCGCCCUCGUGAAGCUGGAAUCCGUAGUAAUCGCGUUUCAACAUAGCGCGGUGAAUACGUCCCUGCUCCUU
rnacentral:rRNA from 1 species